AUUGUCCUCGGGUCUCGUGACUCCAGCUGAGGGGACUGGAUGGGCCCCUAUUAUCAAUCGCAGCAAGGAGAAGUGAGCCUUGACCGGAAGAUGGGGACCCGCACAGCAACUGCCCAGUCUUGAACCACAGGACCGAGUGAAGAUGCCACAAGGGGCUCCUUGUUGGAGAAGCCCCAGAAAGUCACUGCUCCAAACCAGCCCCCUGUGUCAUCAAACACGGAGAAGAGGAAUCAUUCUGCCUUCUGGGGACCAGAGAAUCAGGCUGAUCCUGGGAUGCCAGGAUGCUUCCUGGUCUCCAUUCUGAGCCAAAAAGCUUCAUCUUCACGAUGGUAAUAUUGAG
rnacentral:lncRNA from 1 species